rnacentral:rRNA from 1 species
CCUACGGGAGGCAGCAGUGAGGAAUAUUGCACAAUGGGCGAAACCCUGAUGCAGCGAAGCCGCGUGAGGGAAGAAGUAAUUAGUUAUGUAAAGCUCUAUCAGCAGGGGAGCAAAUGACGGUACCUGAGUAAGAAGCCCCAGCUAACGAAGUGCCAGCAGCCGCGGGAAUACGUAGGGGGCAAGCGUUAUCCGGAUUUACUGGGUGUAAAGGGAGCGUAGACGGCAGUGCAAGUCUGGAGUGAAAGGCGGGGGCUCAACCCCCGGACUGCUUUGGAAACUGGUCGGCUGGAGUGGAGGAGAGGUAAGCGGAAUUCCUAGUGUAGCGGUGAAAUGCGUAGAUAUUAGGAGGAACACCAGUGGCGAAGGCGGCUUACUGGACUGUAACUGACGUUGAGGCUCGAAAGCGUGGGGAGCAAACAGGAUUAGAUACCCCUGUAGUC